rnacentral:lncRNA from 1 species
ACCAACUAACAAUACUUACUUUAAUUUACAAUGCACUCUCAAAUACACACAGUGUGCCAUGGAUCCAAGUCUUAAUUUAAAACUUCAAACCUCAUGUGAGUAACUUUACAUUUCAGAUAUAAGUAAAGGUUAGAGUUGACACACAGCAAAGACAAAGCCGUAAACUUUCUCCAUGGACUUGAGAAAUUUCAUGUUAUAGGAACAUGAUAAAUUACAAUCGUCAUCAGUAGACACUGAUUAACAUAGCUAAAAGGCAGGCUCUAUACCACAUGUUGAAAUUCGUAUACAUAUACAGAGCCAGCGCAUCGGAAAUUAAACAAGGAACGUACCUUCAGCCAUAGUUGUUCAAGUGAUGUAAAGAAUUCCUUGAAAGAACAUUGAGAGAAAAGCUAAGGAGUCUUCUAGCCUGUGCCUAUCGUAGGAUGCCAG